CCCCCUCCCCUCCCUCCACUCCUCCCUCGCCUCCGGCCAGAAUCAUCACUCCCGCCAUCCACCAACCCCCCGUGGCUAGCUAGGGUUUUGGCCGCCACCCCUUCCGGUGACGGUGAGGCCAGAUCACCGCUGCCAACUCCAUUGGGCUGCCAACGCCAGAUCACCGCCGCCUCUGAAUCCCAUGGUCACCCGCCACGCAAUGCCCAUAAACAACUCCCCACACCCGUACCUCCGACGCAUGCCGUCGCCCCUCCUCAUCCACGCCGCACCUGCAUCCCCACCCAGAGUCGCUGCCGCAUCCGGUCCAAAUCAAGCAGCAGGGCAGCCGUGGCCAAAUCCACUUUGGUGCUUCCAAAUCCAUGGUGCCCAAGCCAUGGAUCUCAUCCACAAGAUAUGGUUCCUGUUUUCGUCAAGUUCGUGCUGCUGAUGCAGAAGAACUCAGCAUACCCAUAGGGGGACUGGGGGAGGAGGAGGAGGAGAAGGACCACCGGAAGGUCUUCAUGGCUCAGCUCGUUGCCCACAACCUGCGCUGCUCCAAUCUAGUAUAUGGGAUAGGGAUAAGGAGCACCCCUAGAUGGACCUGACACGAAGCUCAAGGAGGAGAAAAAGGAUCCCCGCCCACUUCAUGGCACACUCCAUCAACACCAUGACCAAGCCAGUCGUCAAGCAAAGCUACUUGUGUGGUGAGAAGAAACCUCCGGCUGAUCAAUAGGGUCAUGGAGCCCCCUCACCCUGUGCAUUUGGCAGCUCGCAGCGGGGACCUGGAUUGCAUCUGAAAGCUGCUUGCGUGGGGAGCUGAUCGGCUCCAAAGGGACUCUGCUGGGGGAGAACUAGAUCCCUGCCAUGGUCUUGCCUUACACAUUGUUGGUCUGCUGAAUUUUGUUCUAUGAGGUCACUGUCAAUAGUUUCUCUUGCCCAACGCAUGAUUACAUUUGGUUUGCUGGAACAUUGUAGAAAAGAACUUCUUUACAUAGAAAACAUUGCAAAAAUAAAAUGUGCGGAAAUCUUGAACGGGUUUGGGUA